GUGUAAGACAAGACUUCUUCGGAAGACAUUCGUCAGUUAUUGAUCGAUCAGUCAAGAAGUGGAUGGUAUAGCGAUUGUUCAGUCGAAAUGGUUUGCCAUAACAAUGAAAGUUUUUUGCAACAAUCUAGUCGAUAUUUUUUUAAACAAUUUACGGUUGGGAGGAAGGGGAUUCGAAAAUUGGUGACAGGAUGACAGCGCACAAUGAUAGAAACGAGUAGGGAAGUUCGGCGUAUGCAGAGAGGUUUUAUAGCAAGUUAAUAUGAUAGAGAGCGGAAAGAAGAAAGAAGCAAAUUAAUAGCUAAUAAAAAUAGAAUCCACAGCUAUAAAGCAAAAUGUAAAUUUACUUAUUUUAAACGCUCAUUUUACUAUUAUUCAGUUGAAUUAUAUUGAAUUUUUCAUUUAUUGUUGGUAAAGAAUCGUUAUUCAAGAUGAGUCACAGUACAGUAAGAUUCGUAUCCAGUAUGAUUUUAAAAUUAUAAUCGAGUUGCGCCAGGUUGAAACUCAUAAAUAAACUACAGAAUACUCAAUUUGAAAAUAAACUACAGAAACUCAUAAAAAUGAUAUGCUUGUAUGUUGGAGUAGCUCGGCAAAGCUAAUUAAGGUCUUGAAGAAAAUUUGGUUCCCACUGAGCUCUUUGAGUAAUGAGGCAUACACAGUGUAUUUUCUGAGUUUUUUGUUAGACUGGCCUUUUCCUUUCUAUAACUUAUACAGAACAUCUGAGUUUUAAGGUAAACUUUCCAAGCCCUCUUUAAUUUUCACUGCUGAUGAAGGCAUCGAAAGCAAUAAUAGUAUUUCUUAUGUCACCUUUAAGUCUCUGCUUCAUAGUCGAAUUGAGUUCUACUAAAAAAGUUUUCGUAGAAAAAAUUUGGAAAGGUUUUUUGUAUCAAAUGCUACUACGAAUUUUCAUAUUUCCUCCACCUUAACUGUUUGAUUCUGUUUCAAAAUACAAUACCUCUAUCUACGAACGUUUGGAUUGAAAGAAAUCAUUUCAAUGGGUCUCUGUCACGAAGUGCUGAUUCAGCACGUAACAUCAACAACAAUCUAAGGGAAAUGGCUGCUGAAUUGUGAAGUGUGCCUUGGGUUCGCAGGCGAAAAAGGAAACUUUAUGCUAAGAAGACCAUAACCAGAGCAUAAAAUCUGAUGGAAAGUAAUUAUAGAUAUUCAAGCACUGUAUUUGCUUGUGAAACAUCAAGUGAUGAUCGUUUUGUAAGAUGUGAUUUUCACAAAUGUAAAAAGCAUGGCAAGGACCUUAACAAAGAACCAGAAUGGCUCCUUAAUACUCCAAAGAAUGUGAAGAUAUUGGAGCAGCAUGUGGGCCAGGAAAUCUUUCAUUACAUUAAAGAGUAUGAAGAAACCAACAAGUGUCUGGAUAGAAAACUUUGUGAAAGCAAUGUGGAUCUUCUAAUCAAGCCACAUGAACUGCACAGGUUUUCAAUGAUAAUAGUUUGCCUUAAUUUACGAGAUCACCAGGCAGAGCUUGGUUUGUGGAUCCAGGCAUUUGUAAAUGCUGCAUCUGUAGAAAAUGGUAUGUUUCAUUUUGCUUAUAAGCUAUAUCUAAUUAGAGAUUCAAUUUACAAAAUUCAUUAUCCUAAGAAUUAUGAUAUAUGAUAUAUGAAUCUUGUUCAGAGCACUUUUAAACAAGUUUUCACCACAAGGCGAAAAAUCCAGGAGGAAAGAUUUUUGCAGAAAUUAUUAUUUUUGAAAAAUUUUUCUACUAUAAAGUUUAUGAAGAUCUCAUUACUCAAUUGAGGAAAUUUUUAUGAAAAUAUUUCCUUUCAAAGCCUCUUGCCUAUAAAGUUUGCUGCAUAGCUCUGUAUUUUUUCCAUCUAUCUCUCUUAAUCUGAAACAUGGGUAGUCAUUGGUCAGAAUAUGAUGUACAUCUUAAAAUAUGCUUUUCUAUUUAUUUCUCCAUAUAACAAUGGAAUUGGCAUUUUCUUCAUUAUUUUAAGGUUUUAGAUACCGAAAUCCCUUGCUGUUAUGAUGUCUUACAAGAAACGAUCUGAUUUUUGAAAAAUGAUUUGCGCGCAGCAUUUUAAACAUCUUACAUAGUCAAUCAUUCAUUAGCGUUGUUAUCCAUAGUUGCUAUGAAGUAGCCUCCCAAUCUUCUAUUGGAAAUAUAUUUGCUGUCUAUCACCUUUUGCCACAUCCUUUAAGCUGCUUUUAGGCUAUGCUUUUAGGCAAUACGUCUUUAAGCAAAGCGUGUAUGUGUUCAGCAAUAUCAGGUUUUAUCUUCUAAAUUAAGUGACUCCGCUUUUCAUGGAGAUGUUCUGGAAAAUGACAUCAAACACAAACAAUCGUUCAUUCACCAGCUAAGGCACUUUUUCUUGAAGACAAAUGCAUCAUAGAGUCCACAUGUUUCUGCUUGUCCAAAUUUUCCAUAGUGCUUCUUUAUUUCCACUAGUACCUGUAUUUUCAACAUCAGUUUUCACAUCAAAAAUUUUUUCAGCCCUUUGACAGUCUAAAGACAGGCUACAAGUAAGUCUAACAGUCCAUUGACAUCAUCUUUAUAACUGUUUCUAGCCCUAAGAAAACAAGUUACAGCAAAUAUGGAAACCUUUAAGACACCCGUUUUUGAAAGGAAGUCAAUAAAAUGUGAUCAUCAAUAAAUAUGAGAAAAUCACAAAAUUUUCAAAAUCUAGACUAAGAAAACUGGAAGAGUUGGGUGUUUUGAAUCACUUGACACUAGAGAGCCAAACCUGUACAUUCAUUACACCAUACAACAGUCAAAUUUUCUACCUUUGCAACACACCUUAGGUUCCGAAAGGUGAUGAGCUGCAAUUUAGCAUUAAACAACAAACAAUUGAUAAAACACAUCAUACUUCUAAACAACUCGUCAAUAAACAGUCAUACACGUAAUCAUUUGGAAGUCGUGGGUAGCUCACUAUCGCUGCUUGAAAAUGAAUUUCCUAGUCAAUCCUUAUAGAAGAUGUGCAUAAAUUCAAAAAAAUUCUCAUGCACAAAAUAUGGCAUCACGAUUUUUAAAUGAAUAAAACUGUUGACAAAGAAACGAAGGGGGAAUCGUGGUACGGUUGACCAUGCUGAUUGUAAGCUUUUUAAUGGUCUACAUGUGAGAUUAGCCGAUGAGCCAGCAUGAUAAUAUAAAUAAAAUGAUGGUCAGAAGCUGACA